ACGAACGCUGGCGGCAUGCCUAACACAUGCAAGUCGAACGAGACCUUCGGGUCUAGUGGCGCACGGGUGCGUAACGCGUGGGAACCUGCCCUUAGGUUCGGAAUAACUCCCCGAAAGGGGUGCUAAUACCGGAUAAUGUCUUCGGACCAAAGAUUUAUCGCCUUUGGAUGGGCCCGCGUUGGAUUAGCUAGUUGGUAGGGUAAAAGCCUACCAAGGCGACGAUCCAUAGCUGGUCUGAGAGGAUGAUCAGCCACACUGGGACCGAGACACGGCCCAGACUCCUACGGGAGGCAGCAGUGGGGAAUAUUGGACAAUGGGCGAAAGCCUGAUCCAGCAAUGCCGCGUGAGUGAUGAAGGCCUUAGGGUUGUAAAGCUCUUUUACCCGGGAUGAUAAUGACAGUACCGGGAGAAUAAGCUCCGGCUAACUCCGUG
rnacentral:rRNA from 1 species